UACGGAGGGUGCAAGCGUUAUCCGGAUUUACUGGGUUUAAAGGGUGUGUAGGCGGGUCUUUAAGUCAGUGGUGAAAUCUCCGAGCUCAACUUGGAAACUGCCAUUGAUACUAUUGAUCUUGAAUUUUGUUGAGGUAGGCGGAAUAUGUCAUGUAGCGGUGAAAUGCUUAGAUAUGACAUAGAACACCAAUUGCGAAGGCAGCAGGCUAAACGAACAUUGACGCUGAGGCACGAAAGCGUGGGGAUCAAACAGG
rnacentral:rRNA from 1 species